UCUAAUGUCAAGUGAAGAGCAGCUUCCAUGGAAGGUGUGCAUAGAAUUUGGGGAUCAUUUCACACCUCUGAAUGUGAUGGACAUUGCAGUAAGGACUAAACACAUUCUGGUGAUCAAACCCAAAGUAGGAAACAACUACUCAGGGAAAGUGAAGUGUCUCUGAAAACAUCUGGCAGGGCAAGAGGAAGCACCAGGGAUGCAAGAAGGAGAGGCAUCCAGCACUGGACACAGUCCUACCUGGAAAACUGUAGGACAGUGGAAAGGAGGCAGCAGCAAACUGGGUAGUUUAUUUAGUCCCUGAGGCUGCAGUGGGCUUCCACAGGACGAUGUCGAUUUUGGAAGCCUGACUCUGUGAAGUGGUGUAUGUCUCCCAUAACAACACUUUUUGUUGAAAAGGUGAGAUCCUCAGAGCCAGAGAACCACAGGAGCAGUCAGGGCUCUGAGUGCCCUUUGCUCAUGGCCAAACUUCAGACAGCCAAAGGCACCUGGAGAUCCUUUGAAAACAUGGAUAUAAAGUCUGUCAUGGAUAAGCCAGUGUGUGUCAGUCAAACCCAUCAGCAGG